rnacentral:lncRNA from 1 species
AGAGCCUUCCCCGUCUCUGUGUGUUGAAGUCAGCAGAUAGCACACCUGCUGCUGCGUGAGUUCCUUCUGCCAAGCAGAGCAGCACAGCUGCAAGACACCCUGCUUCUGGCUCUGAGCUUUGCUUGUCUUCAGGGAUGGAGCCCCUCCCAAGGCAAGUUCAACUGGGUUCUUUGGCAGCCGAAGUCUACACGGACCCUGCAGGGAGCGGUGGAGAAAAAUAUAUUGAUCAUGAGGAGAGGGCUCACCCCUCACCCGGAGAAGUAGUUGGGGAAGCAAUAUGCGGAAACAAAGCCAUGAAUCUGACAAGAAAUGUACUUAAGGUGCAUGGAUGAUUAAUCAUAAAAUUCACAACGGAGGACACUCUGUGGGGAAAAGACCAUGUGAGGACACAGUGAGAAGGAGACCAUAUGCAAAGCAGGAAGGAAGAUCUCACUGGAACCAAAAACCAGCCCUGCUGGCACCCUGAUCUUGGACUUCUAGCCUUUCUCAGAACUGUGAGAAAAUAAAUUUCUGAUGUUUCAGCCA